rnacentral:rRNA from 1 species
GACGAACGCUGGCGGCGUGCCUAAUACAUGCAAGUCGAGCGAAGUUUUUCUUUUUCUUUCACUAUAAAAACUUAGCGUCGCACGUGUGUGUAACACGUAAAGAACCUUCCUCAUAGUCUGGUACAACUAUUGGAAACGAUAUCUAAUACCUGAUUACAGUAUUUCUCUCUUUUGUUAUUUUUAAUUGUUUUUUAUUCUAACUCUAUGAUAUUUCUUUGCGGUGCAUUAGCUAGUUGGUGGGGUAAAGGCCCACCAAGGCGACGAUGCAUAGCCGACCUGAGAGGGUGAUAGGCGACACUGGGACUGAGAAACGGACCAGACUACUACGGGAGGCAGCAGUAGGGAAUAUUCCGCAAUGGGCGAAAGCAUGACGGAGCAACGCCGAGUGAGUGAAGAAGGAGUUCGGUUCGUAAAGCACUGUUGUUAGGGAAGAAAGGAAAUGCAGUAAAAAUAAAAGUAAGAGACGGUAACUAAACAGAAAGCAACGGCUAACUACGUG